UGGGGUUGUGGCUCAGUGAUAGAGUACUUACCUAGCAUGCAUGAGGCACUGGGUUCGAUCCUCAGCACCACAA
rnacentral:tRNA from 1 species